CCUUGUUUCUUUGAGUAUUGUGUAAAGGGGAAACAAAAACCAGUCAGGUCAACUUCCUAGUCCAAGUCAUGAGAAAGCAGGAUUAGUUGGUGUGUUCGAGUUGGGAAAUCGCACACAGCACUUCCUUCUGGCAGUAUCUUCAAAGAGCAAUGACGAGCUGGGCUUGAAAAUGCCGCUGGGACAAUAAAACUCUCAAGUACCGUAACAUUCCAGGCAGUAAAACCUAAUCAAGUGCAUAAAACUGCAUUCCAAGAACAAUGAUGCACAGGCAAGGACAGCGUGUUCAUCUAAAACACCUACUGCCACAAAUCUGAAGAAUCACCUUAAAAAAAAAAAAAAAAAACACACUCCACCACCAUCUAGGUGACUGUUUACGAUUGCAGCUGCCCAGCCAACUUCCUGCACAGCUGUGAUCCUGACGCCUCCUGCUCUCUGGACCUGCCUGAUCCGUCCUCAUGCCCUACUUCUAUCUGGAGUUCUCAUCAGCUGAAAAUCACUUGCUGCUGCUGAGGAUGGCUUCACAUGUAGUCAUCUGGUCAUGAUGAGAUUACUGUGGAUUAGAUGAGAUUAGGCAGAACUUUAUUGAUCCCUUCGGGAGGGUUCCCUCAGGGAAAUUAAAAUUCCAGCAGCAUCAUUACAGGACAAACAGAGAAUAGAAAAUAGAGAAAACUUCUAGAUAGAUUAAAUUAAAUUAUUUACUAGGGCUGUCGAAGUUAAUGCGAUAACACCACAUUAACGCGAUCUCAAUUUAUUGCGAUUUAAAAAAAUAGUGCCGUUAACGCAAAUUCUAAUUUGGCCCUGCGAGUCACCCGUAGUUCCUGUUGAGGCUUGCCGCGCGCUGCUUCAAUAAGGCUAAAGGCCUCUGCAUGCUCUUGCGACAAGGCUUUCGCAGAUAGCUUUUCGCAGACAGUUGUAAUUUAUCGUUGAGCGGGGAGUAAUAGGCGUGCGCGAUGUUAUUCACCACCACAACGCAAGGGGGUGCGAAGUCGCGAAAUCGCUAGGAGUAGUUGGUGGGUGUGGUUAGUGGAGUGUUUAUCCUCCGGUUACUUAUAAUGACUAGAACUGGAGUCGUAUAGAUGUACGUAUUUCCUCACUUCCUCGAUCAACCGCUCUUCGUGCUGCUCCAUCUUCGCUCGUGUUUUUAAAAAUGGCGGCCGCGAAAACAAAACAAACCGGGAAAGUAGGGAAGCGGAAGUGCGUGUACAGCGGAUGUAGAGUGGACCAAUCAGAGCCUUCUUGUCUGCGACGCUGUCUGCGAGGCUUCUGCGGUGGUCACAAUUUUUGGGAGGUGCGCGCAGAGCGUCUGCGAAGGGGGGGGCUUCGCAGACGCCAUCUGCGACGCCAUCUGCGAGGACUGGGUUGUCAGCAUAAACUGGCCUUAAGUGUGAGUGAUGGAGAAAGGUCUGUUAAACGGGAAGUUUCAUUUCAAAAGAAGAGUGUGAUUGAGUUGGUUUUGGUAUGCACUUUGCAGUUCUAAAAUCCUUUUGUAAAGUGAGAUGUCAGUAUGCUGUAGCACUGUGAUAUGACACAAUGUCUUUACUGAAGUCCAGCUGCAAUUUAUUUUUGUUUGCACAGCACUGUGAAGUCCUAUAGGCUGUGACUGAAUACAACUCCAGCACAACUGAAGUUUUAUUUCAUUUUUAUUUUCUUUUGUCACACGUCUGAACUGAGACACAGUAGUAUGUGACUACAUGUUUUAUAUUUGAGACUACAGCUGCCUAAUCCAUCACAAAAUCCAAUGUUGUGUUUUGUAUGUUCAGUACUGCCUAGUAUGUGAGUGAAUAAACUCCCUUACCAUUU